rnacentral:tRNA from 1 species
AUCUGUGGCACAAUGGGUCCGCGUGUCUGGCUGUUAACCAGAAGGUUGGUGGUUCAAGCCCACCUAGAGAUG